AACUACAAACAAGCAUCACUAGUGCAAGGUUCAACGUAGUUCAACGAGGGGAAAAAAUUAGAUACUGGGGCUUUCCGUUAUCAAAUUUGUCCUUUAUUUUUUUAAAAAAUAAGGCAGGAGCAUUACCACAUCAUUUAAAAAGUUACCUCAUAUUAAAGAAAACGAGACCAAACUGUACAUGACUCGAUUAAUUAAGGAAAUUGAGCAAAAACUGUUAAGACAAAGUGGUUACAAAUCUAGCUAAACUCGAUCUAUGCACCACAAAACAUCAACUACCUAGCUAAACUAUGUCUAAUGUGAUCGGAAGGCGCUCAUAUUGAAACCCGUGACCACCAAAACUACACACAUUGAUCUCCAAAGCAACGUUUUCAAGAAGAGCACGACGCACAUGAUGCCAUCGCUGCCAGUCUGGUGAGUCGGAAGUAGGUUUUCACCUAGAGAACUUCCAUGGUUUGCAGAAAGUACCACGACAACGCCUCCAACGAGGAAACGGCACCAGAAGCUGUCGUCGUUGCCGAUGCCAGCACAGAGCUGAACAAAGCUUUCACAGAUGAACCAGCAUCGGCGCUUGCAUUGCUUGUGUAGCACAGUAGCAGCAACAGUCUCCAAAAAAUCGCAUCCUUCGUUCUAGAUGGUCAUCCAUAUUAACAUGUUGUGUCACGCUAGAUAUGUGUUUGGCUGAGUCAUUAGUACCAAAUAUCCUAUAUAUAACCCUUGUUUGCGUCAACCCUUUUUCAACUUAUGUGAAUCCAUUCUGCUUGAACAACACAUGCACCUUUGUAGUUUUAAAAUUAAAAUUUACUAAACUAGGCUACCUUUGAAACUUAUCUAAUUUUUUAUGGCACUAUCAGACCCGAGGCCACGGGAUACCUGACGUGGCGCGGAUCAGUACUAGAUAUGGGAUGGGGUAUGCCCUAUACUCAUACGUCAUGCAACUAGUCGUAUAGACUUAGAACUAGUUGGUACAGAAGGAAACCACUCGAAUAGAACUCGAGAAGGACUCUUCGGCUCGUACCGAUCUAGGAUUUCAUGUAAUCCUAUACCCCCAGCCUUUAUAAGAGAGGGUGGAUAUGAACCCCUCCAAAGCAUCACGCAUCACCUGACCCUCAGGCAAUACAAACCGCCCAACAGUACGUAGGGUAUUACAUAUCUUGCGGCCCGAAUCUGUCUAAACACCGUGUUGCUUGAACCAUCGUGUUCUCAAUCUCGGAGACUCCCUGCAAUCAAUCCUCUACUUCGAGGUAUACCUAGGUAGACUUGCCAGUAAAACACCAACAGACACCAAACUACUUUCCAAAAAUAUAGAAAAAUAACUAAAUAUUUGUCACAAGCCACAAAAACAAGGAACAUAUCUGAUGGAAACCAUAACUUUUAUAAAAACCCGUGCAACAUCAUAUCAUCUACACGUAUGAUUUUUUUGGUGAAUUUAGACGACUGUUUUGCCGUGGUUUGCACGGAUUUUCACGAAAGUUGUAGUUUCCACCAGAUAUGUUCCCACAAAAAUAUAUACACUUUUGUAUAUCCGGAAUAAUAUACUCGGAAUUUAGAAACCAAUGUUGGUCAAUCUUUUGUUAAAACUUUGACAUUAAGUAUAUUUGAUACUAUUGUAAUAUAAUUAUGUAGUCAAGAUAUACAUAAAAAUAUAUGAAUUAUAGACUUCUGCUUGUAUUAAUUAAAAAACUGAGAGCUUUAGGGGCCUUUCAGAUAUUUUACUACUGAACUUAUAGAAUCUACUCAAAAUAAUUAGGAUUUUCAAACACUAAGCUUAUGCACACUUCUCCGUACAGAAUCUUGCUUGUUACAAAAACGAUCGCGGAAACAAACGGGGCCCAAUAAAAAAAUCGACGACACACCGUUUGUUAAUGUCAGCAGGUGUUGAUCAGAUCGAGGAACAGGAUCCAAGGCUGCUAAACCGGCCAGUUGUUUUUUCUCCAAAUGAAUACUGAUAGAAUAGGUGCACCGUCCACAGUAAAUAGGAGUAUAUUAACAGUUUGGCCUUUGGACUGAUAAAAUAGGUGCACCGUGCACGGGAAAUAAGAGAGACCUCACCUCGCUGCCUCGCUCUCCCCUCCUUGCGCUUGCGCUGGGGAACAAUUCAUCAGACAGAGCUCCCGGCAGGCAGGUUCUGUCCAGGUAGCGACAGGGUUCAGGGUCGACCACCACCAGAGUGACCAAGAACUUUGGGCACAGUUCACUGAAGACGAGGGUUAUGAUCGGUGGCCUCCGCCUGCUGUCCGAGCUCGAGGACCAGGCAACGCAGACAUGCGCGUGGCGGCGGCGGCUUCACGGCCAUGCGCUUGGGCGAGAACGGCAAACCUGAAGAUUAUGAUCAGCGUGUUUCUGAUGAUCCUACUAGUGAGU